CAUUUUAUAAUGACAUCUAAAAUUCUACGAUGCCAUUAAAAAAUCCAUAUUAUUUAUUUUAAUUUAUUUUAAAUUAAAAAUAUUUGGGUCUUUAAUAAAUAAAAGUUCCAAGUUUGACGUGGAUGUCAGAGGGCUCAGGGCAUUAUUGGACUAAUUUAAUGCUUAAAUAAUUAGUAUUAUGAACAUUUUAUAUUAAAAUGAAAAGCUACAAUAAAUUUAUAAUCUUAUAUAAAUCAGCAAUGAAAAAUCAAAAUAUAGAAUAAACUAUUGAUCUAAAAACAUUAAUUAGAUCAAAUCAAGCAUUUAAGGGUCGAGAAGAUAAGUAGAGGAAGCGUUGAAAGAAUAUCAGAAAUUAUGUGGGGAGGCU
rnacentral:misc_RNA from 1 species